AGAUUUAGUAGAGAAAGUACCUCAGAGAGUAGCAGACCAUAUAUCUCUAUCCUCUCUCUCCUGAUGGGCACAAGAGAGGCAGGGGUAGCAUGCAUGAUUUAUUGAGUAGCAGAACUUCUAACUCUAGCCGACUUGGGUGACUUUGGGCUAAUCAAACAAAGUGAGGAAGCAAGGAAGAAGAUGCUUCCAAAGCAUGCUAUGAAAGACUAUUUUCCUGUCUCUGACAUACAGGACUAUCCAUAAUGAAUUAAGUUUCUGGAUAAGCGUUUCUAUGACUCUUAAUUAAUAUCCUCCUUUUUGCCUUUGUUUCAUUUUAAUGUCCUUAAAAAGUUAAA